UGCCAGACUCCUACGGGAGGCAGCAGUGAGGAAUAUUGGUCAAUGGGCGAGAGCCUGAACCAGCCAAGUCGCGUGAGGGAAGACGGUCCUAUGGAUUGUAAACCUCUUUUGCCGGGGAGCAAAAAGCGGUACGUGUACCGCAUCGAGAGUACCCGGAGAAAAAGCAUCGGCUAACUCCGUGCCAGCAGCCGCGGUAAUACGGAGGAUGCGAGCGUUAUCCGGAUUUAUUGGGUUUAAAGGGUGCGUAGGCGGGCUGUUAAGUCAGCGGUCAAAUGUCGGGGCUCAACCCCGGCCUGCCGUUGAAACUGGCGGCCUCGAGUGGGCGAGAAGUAUGCGGAAUGCGUGGUGUAGCGGUGAAAUGCAUAGAUAUCACGCAGAACUCCGAUUGCGAAGGCAGCAUACCGGCGCCCUACUGACGCUGAGGCACGAAAGCGUGGGUAUCGAACAGGAUUAGAUACCCCAGUAU
rnacentral:rRNA from 1 species